GGGAGGCGCGGAAAUGCUAGCCGAGCCUGCUGGCGUGAAAGCCCCCGGGGCCUGGCACCCCCAAAACCGACCCCCCCACCUCUGCCCCUGCUCCCCCUUGCUUGGGUUACCCAGGGCCGCCCCUCUCUUCCUUCAACCACCUUUCCUCAUUACCUAGGCUGGCGACCUAAAUUCAAAGUAUUUUGCAUGUAUGAUUUCUUUUUCUGUUUUGCUUUCCUUACUGCAUGUCUAGGGGGGAGGGGCCAGCCUGUCCAGACCCCUAUCCAUUUGCGAACCUGCCAUAUUUCCAUAUGGCAUCCGAGGGGCUCAGAAAGAAAUUAGCGCAGCUCUGUAUCUGUACAGACUGCAUAACUUUUAAACUCCCGGGGCUGAAAUAAUAUGGAGACACAGGCACAGGUACAGGAAAUACAACCAGUCCACAGCCUUCUCAGACUGCAACUGACCGGAAGAAAGCCUUUCGCUCAUUCAUUCGGACAGCCUCGAUAGUACAGCCCUGAAACAGAAGUUGGGCUUUUAAAAAGAAAGAAAGAAAAGUCUCUACACUCGCUGAGAAGAGAUAGUCGAUACACAGGAAGGACUAGAGAAUCGGAUUCACCAGGCAGGCAAAAGUCCUUGGUGCCUUGUGGAUUGAAGUCAAAAGAGAGAAAACAAAACUGUACAAAGGCUGUCAGGCCUGACCCUUGGGGAAAGGCUUAAAGUUCUACUUAGCGUUCUGAUUUUGCUUUUCAAUUGUGUCUCUUCCUGUGUAAGGGCUGAAAGGACCCUGGAGACCACAGAACACAGACCCAUGGUGGAGACAUUUCCAUUAAUCUUGUAAAGUGAUCAGUCACUGGAAGGAUUGAAUUGCAUUUCCUGCCCAAAGAUGUGGAGACAGAUGACCUUUGCAGCAGCCCUCAGACCCCCGGUUCACAGCUGGAGAGAGGAUGUGUCAGCAUUUGCCUUCCAGUCUCACCCAGCCCUUUGUUCAGAGCUCGAACCCUUUGUGCUCAGGCUGCAGCAGGGGGAUUUUGUAAUUGUUGAUGCAGAUUUUUUUUUUUUCCCUAACCUCCCACUUCUUAACAGCUUCUGAGAAACAAACUCUUAUUUGGCAGAAGAUGGUAUCUAAGAGCUGCCCCAGAGGGAGAACCAGAAUAGAUGUGGGGAAUUUUGAGAGGCCACUUGGCCUUUUGGCUAUAACUACUGCCCCUUCCUCGGUUUCCCUGUAUACAGUGGGCCAAACUGGACGGAGUCAGAAGUCCAACAAAGUCAUAAUACCUCAUGUUAAGUGGCUCUAUUUAGAAGAAGAAGAAGAAAACAAGGCUUUUACCUAUACGAUCUCAAGUCAAAGGCACUUAGAACUAAAGCAUUUAUGUAAAAGGAUAUGAAAACCUAGACAGUCCCUCAACGUGCCGGAGAGUCUGUUUUCUCACCUGUGAAAUGGAGGUUUUAAGGCAAAACCCACUGCAGUCUCACUAUGUGUCCUAUAUGCUCACAAAAGGGCUCACCCAGUAAUGGUAUUCAAAGGAAGCUGAUGCUCUGGGCGCCAUAAGCCCAACAUUUUGCUUUUUGCUGAGUUUUAAGGUUCAGGGGAGAGUCCUCUGUGGAGGUUGAAUAGCUGUUUCCCCAGCCAGAUUCCCUCCAAACCUAACCUAACCUUGUUCGGUGUUUUGAGUCCUUUGACUGAAUAUUUUUGUCUCCUCCAGGCCUCUGUACCUGCUGGUCCUUUCUCUCUACAUUUUAUCCUGCUAGCUCCAACAUCCCUCUCCUAGAAGCUGCUUGGGUAUCUCAUUUCCUGUCACCUUCUAACGCUAAACACGUUAUGUUGUCCCGAGAUUUCCUCAGGGAAUCAGACCCAGGACCCCAGCAGGAACUAAAAUGAAAGAAUACUCUGGUGCUAUAAUGGCGGGGUGGUUCUAUAGAACCACACCCUCCUGGUGGUCCUUGAAUUGUUUCCAGAUUAUUUUUUAAUACCUAGUAGUUUAAGAAAUAAUGGCGCGGAAGAAAACAUGGGAGUUGGGGAGAAAAACUAUAAUUCCUCCCAGUACCGGUGAACUUAUGGCCUCACUCAAGAUAGGCAAGCCCUCUGCCACUGGGCUAUAUCGCCAACCCUUUUUCUCUUUUUCUUUUUGAAACGUAGCCUUGCUAAAUUGCCGAGGCUAGCCUUCAACUUAUGAUUCUCAUCCUUACCUGGAAUUAUAGACCCAAGGCCCAGCCAGAUGGUGUUGUGAUAGAGUCGCGGCUCCCGUCCGGACAGACCACACCAGGCCAAGGCAGUUCCAAGUGGGAGAGGUUUAUUCUGGUGGAAGGGGACGACAGAGCCAAAGUGGGGCAAAGAGAGAAAAAGAAGGGUC